rnacentral:rRNA from 1 species
UACAGAGGGGGCAAGCGUUGUUCGGAAUUACUGGCGUAAAGGGCGCGUAGGUGGCCUUCUAAGUUGAACGUGAAAUCCCUGGGCUCAACCCAGGAACUGCGUCCAAGACUGGGAGGCUUGAAUCCGGGAGAGGGAUGCGGAAUUCCAGGUGUAGCGGUGAAAUGACGUUGAUAUCGAUAGGAACUCCGGUGGCGAAGGCGGCAUCCUGGACCGACAUUGACGCUGAACGGCGAAAGCUAAGGGGAGCAAACGGG